GUGGGGAAUAUUGGACAAUGGGCGCAAGCCUGAUCCAGCCAUGCCGCGUGAGUGAUGAAGGCCUUAGGGUUGUAAAGCUCUUUCAGUAGGGAAGAUAAUGACGGUACCUACAGAAGAAGCCCCGGCUAACUUCGUGCCAGCAGCCGCGGUAAUACGAAGGGGGCUAGCGUUGUUCGGAUUUACUGGGCGUAAAGCGCACGUAGGCGGAUUGGUCAGUUAGAGGUGAAAUCCCGAAGCUCAACUUCGGAACUGCCUUUAUUACUGCCAGUCUCGAGUACAGAAGAGGUGAGUGGAACUCCUAGUGUAGAGGUGGAAUUCGUAGAUAUUAGGAAGAACACCAGUGGCGAAGGCGGCUCACUGGUCCGGUACUGACGCUGAAGUGCGAAAGCGUGGGGAGCAAACAGGAUUAGAUACCCGGGUAGUCC
rnacentral:rRNA from 1 species